CCAGCCGGGUCUCCCGACCGCCCAGCGCUGGAGGCAGCAGGGCCGGGCCCCAAGGGACACGCGGGAAACCAGCCUGCCCUGCGGGGACAUUUGGAAGUCCGCAGUGGACACAAAAGCAGUUCAAAUUCGUGACUUGGAUUGUAAUGACCGGACGCUGACCCUGGCAGCCCAGGAGUUCCCAGAGGAGCACAGCGAGCUGGGUGUGGGCCGCAGACAGUAAGAGCCCCCGCCCCCCCCAACUCCGACGUGGGGGGUCCCUAGAACCUGAAUUCUGCCAGGCACUCUCAGGGGACUCACCUCAACUGUGCUGACUACAUUCAGUCAAGUGUGCUAAAAGUUGUCAUGGGGGAAUUUACGAAUCCAUGAAAGAAGCUCCCUAUGGGACAUUCAGGGUCUCUGGAGGACACGGAGCUGAAAUAAAAUCCUGGAGCACAGGCUGGAACGUAAUGAAUUUAUACAACGACAUUGAACACCGAGUGUGUGACAUGUCCCCCAGGUAGUGGAGGGAAAGCAGGGCAACAUGAGACAUGUCUGCUGGAACAGGACAAGCAAACAGGGUCUGAUGAUGACUCUUCCCAGAAUCAGUCGAUGAAGGAGCCCAGCCCUUAUUUUGAAUGUUCCGACUGGCUGGGUUCACAUCCAGAUCUUUCUCUUUGCUUGAUAAAUUCAUGUACAAGCAAUGGCCUCCUCCAGUCCUUGUUGUGGGCAGCUCUGGGUUCUGUCUCUUGCCAGAGCUAGGGUCAACUCCUUGAAAGCAGCUACAGCCUAGGAGAGUCCUGCACCUUCCAAGCUCUGAAAGAAACCCAGAUCUCUCAGAGCUGGGGUGAGAACUGGGCAGGCACUGGGGUUGGACAUGACUCCAGGCUUCUACAACAAAACAGAUCCGAGACAGAAGCCAUCAAGUAUAAACAGACACAGAUGAUUCCAAAAAUAUUCCAUUACCGUUGUUCUUCAUGUGGGCUACAUAGUAGAAUCAGCUAAUAAGUUUCUUAAAUGUGAAAGCAAAAAAUAAAGCUACUAGAAGUAUAUGAAGGAGAAUAUCCUCAUGUGCCAGUGAGCGGAGAACUUUUAAAAACUUCAAAAGCACGACUGACAAAGAAAUACAAUUCUAGUAUUUGCUUCCACUAAAAUGAAGAAUAUGUUAAACAAAUGACAUAACAGAAAUAUAAUAGAUAAAUGUGAUCAUGGGAGAGUAUAUUUAAAUUGUCCCCAAAUAGCAGGGGCCAAAUAGAUAGAUGGUAUAAUAGGAGGCCACCAAAAGCAGCAAGAUCAAAAUGAAAUGGACAAAGGAUAGGACAAGCAAUUUAGGAGAGAGAUGAAUGGAGGCUGACAAAUAUUGUGCAAAAAUUUCCAAAAUCAUUAAGCACAGAAAUAAAAAGUAAAAAGAGACAGUACUCUACCGCCAUUAGUAAAAAGUAAAAAACUGAGAAAAAUCAAUUAUUGGAGGACUGGGAAUUAAAGAACCCUCCUAUCCUGCUGGUGGGAUGUGGCAUUGAGGAUGUCCUUCUGGAGCACUUUGUAUCCAAGUGCAGAAUGUUCCCAUUCUACACAAGCUCAGAGUUCACACGAAGGGAAAUUAGUCACAAUAGUUGUAUGAGGACUUUUGAAAUUGGAAAAAACUUUGCUUUUUCACUCUUAGGCAGUGUAAAUGCAAACUUCAGCUUGGUGCCUGGAGGCAGUUUCUGAGGCAUACCUAGGGGGAAUUCCGAGCCAGGCAGUGUCACUGAAUUGGGGGACACAAAGAUAGCAUUUCAGGGAAGCCAAUGCAGUAAGCAAAAAUGAAAGCAAUACCAGAGAGGAGACAGCUGCAGAGAGAGCCUCUGGUGUUGGCAGAGGGGCUUUCUUGUACCUUCAGGAAUACUGAUUCAUGAUCAAGUGGGGUUACAAUUCCAUGAUUCUGGAAAAAGAGCCCUUGGUAAAAAGGUGAGCUGCUUGUAAAGUGCUGGAAAUAGCGCUCAGCAGCUGUCCCAAGAGACAUCAUAAUUUAUGGGGUAGUGGGGGAGUCCGUAAAAAGGUCUAAGCUUAGGUGUGAACACAUCCCAACAAGGUUUAUGGGUCAGUCACUGAUGGGACAUGUGGACCCCAGGGAAAAUGUUAUCUGAACUUGGAAGAAAAGGGGUUCUUAAUGAAUCAGUAGAGAAUUUACAAACACUAUGCCUGCAAUAUUCUGGAAUGCAGAAAACAAACCUAUGAGCUGGCUGAUUUAACUAAAGAGACUUCUGGACCAAACUGUGACAGCUUGCUUAGCCUUUCUUGCUGUUUGUGGGAAAAUGUGAGAUGGAAGAUUUAAGGUAAGGGAAUAUCUGUUACAUACAAAUGAGCCAAAACAGGGUUUGAAAGAAAAGCUGUUUAUUAUUUCCAGCCGUUCCAGAUGAAAAUAAAGGCUAAAAUUAAGAAAUGACUUUCAGGCAAGGAUUAAGUCCAGAGCAGUGUCAGAAAAUGUGGCCUAAAGAUGAAGCCAAAGGUGUGAUGGUAAGACCUUUGUUGGCAUUCCCCAGUGAGUUAAGGUGAUCUCUAAACGGAAAAACAAACCUCUAAGGCUCUUCAGGACAUGCCCUACAUAUCCUCUGCCACAAAACCACAAGUCCUAAGUCUGUGGUCUGCCAGCAGCCUCAUAGGAAGCCAAGGUAGACAUGGGCUUCUGUUCAUCAGGUUUGCGAGUGCAGCUUUGAUUUCAUACAGACGUUGGAAAGCUUUUUCUUGAAGGGGCCUAACAGUAAAUAUUUUAGGCUUUGUGCACCACACGGUCGCUGUCAGAACUAGUCAGAUCUGUGGUUGUAGCAAGAAAGCAGCCACAGAUAAUAUGAAAAAAGUAAGUGUGGCUGCAGUCCAGUAAAGCUUUAUAAAGACAGGUAGAUGGCCAGAUUUGGCCUGUAGGUCAUAGUUUGCUGACUCCAAAUCUAAAGGAAUAAGCUCCAAUGGCCUUUAUGAAGUCACGGGGGUGUAAAGAGCACAGUUGUCAGAUACUGAAAGCUUGAACUGAAAGGGAUAGAGGACAGCGUGAAAUGGAAAGAGGACCUUGAACCUCCCAGACUCUAUGGGAAGGAAGUAGGCCAGGAGGAUGACUCAGCCAUCACUGAAUAUCUUGAAAAGUAGAGCUACACGAUGGAAUCUUGAAAGAGUAAAAAGCAUGAUUAGUGAUGAAACGUACCAAAACAAAACACAACAGAAAACAAGAAGCCUGACAAGAAACUGGAGGCCAACAAGGCCUGAAGUACUCAGAUUAAAUAAAAGGCUGGAAAACAUUCAUUAAACCCUAGAAUAAAGUUUU